rnacentral:rRNA from 1 species
CAAGUCGAACGGUAACAGGGAAGAGCUUGCUCUUUCGCUGACGAGUGGCGCACGGGUGCGUAACGCGUAUACAACCUACCUUUUACAGUGGGAUAGCCUUUAGAAAUGAAGAUUAAUACCGCAUAGUAUCCAGGUACCGCAUGGUAUCGGGAUUAAAACCUCGGUGGUAAAAGAUGGGUAUGCGUUCUAUUAGCUGGAUGGUGUGGUAACGGCACACCAUGGCGACGAUAGAUAGGGGCCCUGAGAGGGGGAUCCCCCACACUGGUACUGAGACACGGACCAGACUCCUACGGGAGGCAGCAGUGAGGAAUAUUGGACAAUGGGCGAUAGCCUGAUCCAGCCAUGCCGCGUGCAGGAAGACUGCCCUAUGGGUUGUAAACUGCUUUUGUGCGGGAAGAAACCCAGCUACGCGUAGCUGGCUGACGGUACCGUAAGAAUAAGCAUCGGCUAACUCCGUGCCAGCAGCCGCGGUAAUACGGAGGAUGCAAGCGUUAUCCGGAAUCAUUGGGUUUAAAGGGUCCGUAGGUGGACGGUUAAGUCAGAGGUGAAAUCCUGCAGCUCAACUGUAGAACUGCCUUUGAUACUGGCCGUCUUGAAUUAUUGUGAAGUGGUUAGAAUAUGUAGUGUAGCGGUGAAAUGCAUAGAUAUUACAUAGAAUACCGAUUGCGAAGGCAGAUCACUAACAAUAUAUUGACACUGAUGGACGAAAGCGUGGGGAGCGAACAGGAUUAGAUACCCUGGUAGUCCACGCCGUAAACGAUGGUCACUAGCUGUU